rnacentral:rRNA from 1 species
UACGAAGGGGGCUAGCGUUGCUCGGAAUCACUGGGCGUAAAGCGCACGAAGGCGGAUUGUUAAGUCAGGGGUGAAAUCCUGGAGCUCAACUCCAGAACUGCCUUUGAUACUGGCGAUCUCGAGUCCGGGAGAGGUGAGUGGAACUGCGAGUGUAGAGGUGAAAUUCGUAGAUAUUCGCAAGAACACCAGUGGCGAAGGCGGGUCUCUGGGCCGAUACUGACGCUGAGGAGCGAAAGCGUGGGGAGCGAACAGG